UUUUAUUCUUCUUGUUCUGUCCGUCUCCCCCUCUCGUUCUUCACUCUCCCUCCCCUGUUGAUGAGAAGCAAAAGAAAAUCACAAUUUCUUUCCACGAACUCCGAAAACCCAUUUAUGGGAUUGAAAUGGUUGUUCCAAGAAAUUGUCACUUGUUCUUUCAAGACGUGGUGAUUGAUUUAUGUUGCUAUCUGCGUUACGAGUUUGGAUCUAGAUCGAUGCAGUAAGCCGAAAAAGCUUACGAUAAGGGAGCUAUGGACACAAUAUCGGUAUAUGUUGUUGUCCUUGUAUAUAUAUAUAUCAUGGGCUGUGUUGUGUAGUUUUCCUAUGGGUGCUAAAUGAUAUUUUCUUUACAUGUCUUUCUGCCUGUACAUGUGUACAAACUAAAGAAUUAUCUCGGGUUAGACAGAAUAAUUUUUACACUCCUUUUGACUGUCCAGUUUUCAUUUUCAUUUUCUUUCAUCGUCAGCAUGUCGACAUUUCUUAAAUCAUAUUUGUUACCUAUUUGGAAUUCUUUUUAUUUGAACCAUAAUGUGUAUAUGUCAUUCUCUGUUUUGAAAUUCCUGCUGGAACUUGAAGAUAGUAGCAGGCCUUGUUUUCUAUAUUUCUUUCUCUUACGGAUUUACUUAAAUUAAUACUUGUUAUAUUUAUGUGAAGUGUGUACUCAUCACCAUUAUGUUUCAUUUUGGAUCUUUGAAACUCAUUUAAUUUAAGUUUGGAUCUAUGCAGUCAACUACGAAGUGUACUUAACAUCUAUACAUAUUGAUUUUCCAGCAUUCUUCUGAGUAUUGAUGCCCUUAAUUGCACAUUUUAUGUUUGAAAAUAAUGGACUCGUUUAAACAGGCUAUGUUGGAUUUUUAUGGACAAGAAUGUACACAUUUUUUCCACUGUCUAAACUCAGGCUCUUUUAUGUACCAUUUAUAUUUAUCGUUUAAUACUUCUGAGUGCGGAACGGGGUUUAGUCUUGCUGGAGGGGCUGGAUCUGGCUGGAUCCAGCCCGCUAGAAGGGAAAAUUCACCGGUCCGUUACAUACUUCGUCCCGUAAACGGAUCCUAUAUCGAGGGAAGGACCUUAUAAAGAUUACGAGGAAGAAAACGAACGAGGAAUGCAGAGGAGAAGGCUACUAGUGGAGGUGAGAUAUGAAAAUCAUAGGCUAAGAUGCGAAGAAGGAAGAAAGCGCGAGGAUGAGAACAAACACAAUAAGCGAGAAAGAAGCACUGGCGAACAAACACAAUAAGCGAGAAAGAAGCACUGGCGAGACAAGAAGAGGGAUCAGGAAAUCUUACAUGAGCCACGAAGAUUGAGGUACAAGUGGGAAGAAGCAAGAUAAGUCGCAAUGGACAAAGGAGGAAGGCGUGCCAGCCACCCUAAACCCGUGCAGAGUUGGAAACAACACCAGAAGGAGAGCUAAGGCGGACUGACCGAAAGCAGGAAGGGUCACUGCGAAGAGAUCGAAAGCCGCGAGGUGACAAAGCUGGAGGCCACCAGGUGAAGACUGUAAAGCCAACGAAGUAGGGAUUGAACAUGAUGGCAUGGACGUAAUUAAAGACUAUAAAGACGUGUUGAGGAAUAUCGGACUCAGCGGUCGAUGACAAUCAACAAAAGGGGAACAUCGAGUGGAACAACGAGCAAUAUGUCGGCAAGGGAAAGGCAAUAGAAUUGACGGGGCUGUUGGAAAUGAUGAAUAAAUGUGCAAGAAGUUGACCAAGCAAACCCGAUCUCAUUACACGUAACACGACAAAAUAAUAGAGGCAAGACGAGAUUGCAGCAUUAUUUUCUCUAAAGCAAAGGGGUAGCGUUGACGAAGAUAUCUCGCAAAGAAAAAACGUACAAGGGAAAAAUCAAAGCGAAGCAAUGAAUGGAUCCAACAACUCAUGAUCGAUAACAACAAGAUAAAAAACGUACAAGGGAAAAAUCAAAGCGAAGCAAUGAAUGGAUCCAACAACUCAUGAUCGAUAACAACAAGAUA